UACGUAGAGGGCAAGCGUUAUCCGGAUUUACUGGGUGUAAAGGGAGCGCAGACGGCAUAGCAAGUCUGGAGUGAAAACCCGGGGCUCAACCCCGGGACUGCUUUGGAAACUGUUAAGCUAGAGUGCAGGAGAGGUAAGUGGAAUUCCUAGUGUAGCGGUGAAAUGCGUAGAUAUUAGGAGGAACACCAGUGGCGAAGGCGGCUUACUGGACUGUAACUGACGUUGAGGCUCGAAAGCGUGGGGAGCAAAC
rnacentral:rRNA from 1 species